rnacentral:rRNA from 1 species
CAAAGGAGGCGACUCCGGUGACGGAUGGGCAUGCGGCGCAUUAGGUAGUUGGUAGGGUAACGGCCUACCAAGCCGACGAUGCGUAGGGGUUCUGAGAGGAAGGUCCCCCACAUUGGAACUGAGACACGGUCCAAACUCCUACGGGAGGCAGCAGUGAGGAAUAUUGGUCAAUGGCCGGAAGGCUGAACCAGCCAAGUCGCGUGAGGGAAUAAGGCCCUAUGGGUCGUAAACCUCUUUUGUCAGGGAGCAAAGGCGUCCACGUGUGGACGAGAGGAGAGUACCUGAAGAAAAAGCAUCGGCUAACUCCGUGCCAGCAGCCGCGGUAAUACGGAGGAUGCGAGCGUUAUCCGGAUUUAUUGGGUUUAAAGGGUGCGUAGGCGGAGUGUCAAGUCAGCGGUAAAAUUUCGGGGCUCAACCCCGUCGUGCCGUUGAAACUGACACCCUUGAGUGAGUGAGAAGUAAGCGGAAUGCGUGGUGUAGCGGUGAAAUGCAUAGAUAUCACGCAGAACGCCGAUUGCGAAGGCAGCUUACCGGCGCUCAACUGACGCUGAGGCACGAAAGUGCGGGUAUCGAACAGGAUUAGAUACCCUGGUAGUCCGCACAGUAAACGAUGAAUGCUAGAUGUCCGGGGCGAAUGAGCU